rnacentral:rRNA from 1 species
UACGGGGGGGGGCAAGCGUUGUUCGGAAUUACUGGGCGUAAAGGCUCGUAGGCGGCCAACUAAGUCAGACGUGAAAUCCCUCGGCUUAACCGGGGAACUGCAUCUGAUACUGGAUGGCUUGAGUUCGGGAGAGGGAUGCGGAAUUCCAGGUGUAGCGGUGAAAUGCGUAGAUAUCUGGAGGAACACCGGUGGCGAAGGCGGCGUCCUGGACCAACACUGACACUGAGGAGCGAAAGCCAGGGGAGCAAACGGG